GGGGCUGACUGGUUUCGACGUCGGGAUUAGAAAAUCAUAGCACGCGACCGGAGUUGCUCAGACUCCCUAAACGGGGCUUUAAGAGACGCCAAUCAAGACGAUCUCGUUCUUGUUGCCUAACCAAGUUAGUACAAGCAAGAAUUUACUGCGACCUAUUUUGGCACGCGAGGCCAGACCACUGUAGCCUGGCACCAGAAACAGUGGUGGACAGCAGGCAAAGACCGCUGACGGCUGGGAAAGACCGCUGACACUGGAGAAAGAUCCGGCGGCGGAACCUCUAGAAAAUACCGCAAGUAGCGACAAGGUCUUUUGGUUUCACACGACUCAGCGUAACAGCAGCCGUAAAGCUGAAAACUUGGGAAUGGUCGUAGCGAGCUUGAAUUUCACCAGACGGACGAGGGUUCGAUUCCCUCCAGCUCCACCA
rnacentral:tmRNA from 1 species